rnacentral:lncRNA from 1 species
GGCUUUGUCUGGCUCUAGCAUGGAAAGAAAAAAUUGAGAUCAGCUAAUAGCUAACAAGAAUAAUGGAAAAAGGCAGUUCCUAGACUCCACUCCUUUCAGUUUUCCUCUACUUUUUAUCCUACCACAAGCUCUCCUCCCGGAAUUAAUCUGCAGUCUCCCCUCACCCAGCUAAAGUUGUUUGGGUUGCCAAAUUUCCUAGUUACAGCUCUUGGGAGUGAAGCGAUUUUCCAUGAAUACUGAUAAGAUUUGUUGUUUCAGUUCCCACAUAUUUCCAGCCACAAGAUCAUCACUCGGGUCAGCAUCACCACUCCUUUCCCAAAGGAAAAAUUGGGCUCUUUCCUAAAUCACCUUGGGAUUUGAUGGGCCACCUUGAACCUUACCUCACUUGGUUCCAGGCAUGAACAACUCCUCUCCAGCCAUACCACAUAACAAUGCUGCCCACACAGACCUGCACGCAGCCAUUAUCCAGGAGUGCAAAGUAAAUCCAGCAGAAUGUGUGCCCGACAUCCUCAACACCACCAAUAAGCCAUACAAACCAGCUUAGCGGAAGAAUCAAGGCAUUUUGAGGAAGAGACAGGCGGAGGUUGAUGAUCAAACCAUCACCUCCACCUACACUAUGACAUCCCCUCAGAUCUCAGUAGUCCGGUGGCCCAGCAAUUUCAAUGCCCACCUUUGAUCACUAGUCUUGCUUAGAGUGGAGCCCUCCCCAUUGUCAUAAAAAGGAUCAACCCUUGUACAAGAGGGGAUUGACAGCCUCACCACCACCAACCCAAUCACUGACCAACUAACCCUAAUGCCUGGGUAAAACCAAGAGCACCCCAGUCCACCCAUCCUCCUGAAGCCAUCAUCUAGAAAGCAACUCUGGUGGACAUGGGACAUGGAGGCUGUUUCUGCAGGCUCUCUAUAUAGGACCUUUGUUUUCCUAGCACUUGGCAUUCUUACUUAUAGAAAGCACCUGAUUAAUGCUUCUUCACUAUUGAAUGAAUGACUGCUUCCUCAACGUGGCCGAUAAUGGAGAUCCAGAAAAGAAGACUCCCAUCACUCCAGUCCUUGGUGUUACCAGAUGAUUCGACAGCAGAAAUCAACAUAGUUUGAUCAGUGGUGUCUCCACUAAGUUAAAGAAAGUGGGUUACCAUUUACUUUGCUGCUCACAGACCCUAAGGAUCACAGGAAUUUGGCAUCAAACUUGCUGCUUACACCAUACAUACAUACAUACAUACAAAGAGAAGGGGGAGGAGAGAGACAGAGAGGGACAGAGAGAGACAGAGACAGAGAUUCAGAGAGAAUCAUUUUCAAUUUUUAUCCUUAGCAUUUAGCAAAGGGUUUUUGAAGCUUU